CGUCUAUAUACGUAUAGCAUAUCAAUAAGCGGAGGAAAAGAAACUAACAAGGAUUCCCCUAGUAACGGCGAGUGAAGCGGGAAGAGCUCAAAUUUGAAAUCUUAAAGGGUUCCCCUUUACGAAUUGUAGUUUAAAGAAGUGUUUUCUGUUGGAGUUUCGGUAAAAGUUCUUUGGAAUAGGACAUCAUAGAGGGUGAGAAUCCCGUAUUUGACCGUUACUUUCCAGCUGUGUGAUACACUUUCAAAGAGUCGGAUUGUUUGGGAAUGCAGUCCAAAAUGGGUGGUAAAUUUCAUCUAAAGCUAAAUAUUGGCGAGAGACCGAUAGCGAACAAGUACCGUGAGGGAAAGAUGAAAAGAACUUUGAAAAGAGAGUUAAACAGUACGUGGAAUUGUCAAAAGGGAAGCGUUUGACACCAGUGUUGUUUUUCCGAAAAUCAAUUACGAAUGUUUUAUUUUUGAGAGUUAUGACUUCAUCGGCUUGCUUCUUUCUUUACGAAACUUUCUUAAUGCACUUUUCGGUUAACAAGUCAACAUCAAUUUCUUUUGUUGUAAAAGGGUAUGAGGAAGGUGGCUUUCUUUUCGGAGAAAGUGUUUAUAGCCUUGUAACCUCUGCAAUCGGAGAGAUUGAGGUCUGCAGCGUAGAUCCCUUCGGGGUUAGAUACAUUUGUGCUAAGUUAUAGUCUUUUAUAGACAACUUGUUGACUAUGAUUGAUCUUGUAGCUUACUCGCUUAUGCUAUUUUACCUACGCUUAGGAUGUUGAUAUGCAUGACUGAUAU
rnacentral:rRNA from 1 species